AUCCCGAGCCGAGACUGGCGCUUAGGUGGAGCACCACCGGGGAGCGGCUCGGCGAUCCCGUCACCGCCGUGCGCCUGGGCAUUCCGC
rnacentral:ncRNA from 1 species